CGGAAAUGGUUUUUUUUUACAACAAAAGAACAAAAAGAACCGAUAAAGGAUUUAUAGCCGUAUAGAAUGUCGCUGUAGUAAUAACAGCUUCUCGGAAACUCGUGUAUGACGAUCGCCCUCGUGUUAAUUAGCCGUGUCUCCGCACAAUGAUAUCACCAGCCGGUACACAAGGACCCGACGGACCGAUGGGAGAGAUAAGGCCAUGACUCGCUGCAAGCGGAGCUGCGUUUGCGGUCCACACAUCCAGAUGCGUGCUGCCUAGUGCUCGUCAAUACAUACCAGACAGUUUUCGUUCGAAGUUUCAUACCCUUUGGUCAGAGUGCACCAACUUCGAUGGCGAAGCCGCGCCUACACAACUGCACAGAUCAACAUUGGUGGUUUGAAGUUGAAGAUGGCGAGGUUAACGCUAACAUUGCUGGCAUUGUCAUUGACUAUCGUAUAGUUGUUGUGCAAGUAGACAAGUGGACCAAAGACGAUACAGUCUCAAUACAAGCUGGAAAACGCCAUCAUGACCAGGACGUGUACUUCGUCAAAGUCAAGAGAUUCCUUGUGGAGGAGAACCUUUUCUGCCAGAAGUUUCGUGGAUGUGUGACGGCUGAUCAGACAAGUAAUAUGAUCUGGACGCGUUUGGACCAUUCAGCAAGAUACACCCGCGAAAAGGAAAAACACUGGAGCUCACGAUCGUCGUGAAGGUAAUGUUGGGGCGGCAACAUCUUUGGUUGCUUCAACGUCCACUGCUACCACCUCCAAGUCAACACCGAAGGCUCCCAGGUCCACCUCGGUCCGAUCCAAGUCAACACCGACGGCUUCCAAAUCCAUCAACAGUGACGUCGACAGCGAGGCGGAUUUGAGCGUCAAAAGAGAACAACGCCCAUUCCAGACAAGGAACUGGUGAUUCGACUGGUCAUGGCGAGGAGACAUGUGACUGCGGAGGCGCUUGCAACUGCCACACUCCCACGUCAAACAAAGAGGAGAACUGUGAUCUUCCAGUGGGUCGCAUCAAAGAUGCCAUUUGAUCAAAACGUGCGUUCGCUGACGAUGUGCCGUCUUGAGUGCCGUUUAGAAGGAAUUGGAACCUUUUUCAUGGACCGAGACCCCGCGCAGCAAGAUUCUCCAACACGUCACCUGCACGCUUGAAUCCUCCCCACUGCGACUGAUGCUCCGUUCUCGAGCACUGUCCAAAACCGUCCCCAUUGCAACCUUUAUAUUACGACAAGUACAUGUGAUUGCGGUUUGACUACAUUCGUCCACGAACAAUAGAUUCAAUUGCUUAUUCAUAUUGCGCUAGGGUCCUGCCAUAUGAUAUUU